rnacentral:pre_miRNA from 1 species
UGUUAAUAAUUUCAUCUACUUGUAUUUAUAAAAAAAAACUGACAUGACUAAUGGAAUAACUAGACAGUGAUACGUAGUGUGCCGUAUGUACCUCGUGUUGAUGUACAAGGACUAUUUUUUAACAAUAAAAAUAAAUAAAAAUUUUAAUA